GGAUGACCUGAACUCAUUUUUUUUUUUCUUUUUCUUUUUUUUUUUUUUAGGAAAAAGAGAGAGAAGCCCCUCUGGUCAAAAUUCCCUUGAGUUCUCACCAUUAAGUUAUACCGUUUGCUGGUCUCUUUACGCGCCCUCAAUUCCACUUCCUUCUUCCUUCUCCGCCUGGGUUCAUCCCUCAUCCUGUCACCUUCAUGUCUUCCUCUCCUCUGGAUUUUUCCAUCGGUGUUGCUCUAGCCCAGCAUUUUUCAAUGAAAGGCUCUUGCACUUGCAUUUGAAUUGGUGUUGGAUAAAACAUAGGUUCCAAAGUAACAUUGUGGGCAUAUGCACCCGUGCAUGCACACAGCUAUUUUAGUUUUUGUUUUGAAAGAAUUUUAGACACCAUAACAAAUUAUGAAAAUUAAUACACAGAGUUCCCACGUGCUCCUUGUUCAGCUCUCCCCAGUGUUAACCUCAUAUGUGGCCCUCACAAGAGUCAUCAAAACUGAGGAAUCAUUAUUGGUGUCAUACUGUGAACUAAACUACAGAUUGUACUGGUUUCAUCAGUUUUUCUGCUUCUGUUCUGGAAUCCAAGGCAGAAUCCCACCGCACAUUUAGUUGUCAUACCUCCCCAGUCUCCUGUCUGUGAUAGCUCCUUAGUCUUUUCUGACCUUGACAUUUUUGGAGAGUUGGUAUAUAAAAUACCAUUGCUGGGUUUGUCUGAUGUUUUUCUCCUGAUUAGAUUGAGAUUUUGUAUUUUUAUAAACUGUGUCUUUAACCAGCUCUAAGAACCGUGACCCUGGCUCUCAUCCUUCCCUGACCCACGCAGCUAAACUCAAAAAUGUUGUGUGACAUAGUUCAUCAUUCUUCAACACACGGCAGCCUGGCCUGUGAAAUUCCUGCCACCACGAGACACCUGCCAUCCUGUCUCGCAGCUGCUCUCUAGCCCUUUGUUCUUGGUCUCCUGGGCUCAUUCACCGAGGUGACCCCUUCCUGAUUUUACUGUUCUGUUUUCCCCCUCCUCUGACUUCUCACUUUUGCAGGCUUAUCCUGGGCUCGUGUAUCCCUUUGCAUACUUGAUCUCACCACGUGGAUUUCCCUAAAACACAUCUUUCUGGUGUUUCUCACACAUAAUGGGCACUCAAGUCCUCUGGGGAUCUUGUGAGAAGCAGUUUCUGAUUGAGUGGCUUCACGCAGGCCUGAAAUGACAUGACAGUUCCGAAACUCUCCCGGCUGAAGCUGAUGGUCCGCAGACCAGCCUGGGUAGCAAGUUCCAAUACUCCACCCCAACUAAGCCUCUGUCAUCUCAAGUUCAGUUAUUGUGGCCAUACAACAGCUCUCUCAUUUCCUCUUGCCCCUGUUAACCUGUUCUUCACAUAGCAGCACAGAGAAGGGCUUUAAAAAAAAU
rnacentral:lncRNA from 1 species